UACGAAGGGGGCUAGCGUUGCUCGGAAUUACUGGGCGUAAAGGGCGCGUAGGCGGACAGUUAAGUUGGGGGUGAAAGCCCGGGGCUCAACCUCGGAAUUGCCUUCAAUACUGGCUGUCUUGAGUAUGAGAGAGGUGUGUGGAACUCCGAGUGUAGAGGUGAAAUUCGUAGAUAUCGGGAGGAACACCUGAGGCGAAGGCGGGCUACUGGGCCGAUACUGACGCUGAGGCGCGAAAGCCAGGGGAGCAAACGGG
rnacentral:rRNA from 1 species